rnacentral:rRNA from 1 species
CCUACGGGAGGCAGCAGUAGGGAAUAUUGCUCAAUGGGGGAAACCCUGAAGCAGCAACGCCGCGUGGAGGAUGAAGGUUUUAGGAUUGUAAACUCCUUUUGUGAGAGAAGAUAAUGACGGUAUCUCACGAAUAAGCACCGGCUAACUCCGUGCCAGCAGCCGCGGUAAUACGGAGGGUGCAAGCGUUACUCGGAAUCACUGGGCGUAAAGAGUGCGCAGGCGGGCUUGUAAGUCAGAUGUGAAAUCCUGUAGCGUAACUACAGAACUGCAUUUGAAACUAUGAGUCUAGAGUGUGGGAGAGGGAGGUGGAAUUCUUGGUGUAGGGGUAAAAUGCGUAGAUAUCAAGAGGAAUACUCAUUGCGAAGGCGACCUACUGGAACAUUACUGACGCUCAUGCACGAAAGCGUGGGGAGCAAACAGGAUUAGAUACCCUUGUAGUC